rnacentral:rRNA from 1 species
CGGGACGGGUGAGUAACGCGUGGGUAACCUGCCUUGUACUGGGGGACAACAGUUAGAAAUGACUGCUAAUACCGCAUAAGCGCACAGUAUCGCAUGAUACAGUGUGAAAAACUCCGGUGGUACAAGAUGGACCCGCGUCUGAUUAGCUAGUUGGUAAGGUAACGGCUUACCAAGGCGACGAUCAGUAGCCGACCUGAGAGGGUGACCGGCCACAUUGGGACUGAGACGCGGCCCAA